UAGAGUUUGAUCAUGGCUCAGGAUGAACGCUAGCGGGAGGCCUAACACAUGCAAGCCGAGCGGUAUUGUUUCUUCGGAAAUGAGAGAGCGGCGUACGGGUGCGGAACACGUGUGCAACCUGCCUUUAUCUGGGGGAUAGCCUUUCGAAAGGAAGAUUAAUACUCCAUAACAUAUUGGACGGCAUCGUUUAAUAUUGAAAGCUCCGGCGGAUAGAGAUGGGCACGCGCAAGAUUAGCUAGUUGGUGAGGUAACGGCUCACCAAGGCGAUGAUCUUUAGGGGGCCUGAGAGGGUGAUCCCCCACACUGGUACUGAGACACGGACCAGACUCCUACGGGAGGCAGCAGUGAGGAAUAUUGGUCAAUGGGUGCAAGCCUGAACCAGCCAUCCCGCGUGAAGGACGACUGCCCUAUGGGUUGUAAACUUCUUUUGUAUAGGGAUAAACCUACCCUCGAGAGGGUAGCUGAAGGUACUAUACGAAUAAGCACCGGCUAACUCCGUGCCAGCAGCCGCGGUAAUACGGAGGGUGCAAGCGUUAUCCGGAUUUAUUGGGUUUAAGGGUCCGUAGGCGGACUUAUAAGUCAGUGGUGAAAUCCUGUCGCUUAACGAUAGAACUGCCAUUGAUACUGUAAGUCUUGAGUAUUUUGAGGUAGCUGGAAU
rnacentral:rRNA from 1 species